GGCGAGAUGGCCGAGCGGUCUAAGGCGCUGUGUUAAGGUGAAGCAUCCCCACUCUUCCAAGAGUAGCUCAUCCGCAGUCUUCGGACGUGGGUUCGAAUCCCACUCUCGUCA